CCUACGGGUGGCAGCAGUGAGGAAUAUUGGUCAAUGGGCGGGAGCCUGAACCAGCCAAGUCGCGUGAGGGAAGACGGUCCUAUGGAUUGUAAACCUCUUUAGGCGGGGAGCAAUGCCGGGCACGCGUGCCCGGAGGGAGAGUACCCGCAGAAUAAGCAUCGGCUAACUCCGUGCCAGCAGCCGCGGUAAUACGGAGGAUGCGAGCGUUAUCCGGUUUUGUUGGGUUAAAGGGGGCGGUGGGGGGAUUUUUAGUCAGCGGUAAAAUGGUCGGGCUCAACCCGGGCCGGCCGUUGAAACUGGGGAUCUUGAGUGGGCGAGAAGUAUGCGGAAUGCGUGGUGUAGCGGUGAAAUGCAUAGAUAUCACGCAGAACUCCGAUUGCGAAGGCAGCAUACCGGCGCCCGACUGACGCUGAGGCACGAAAGCGUGGGGAUCGAACAGGAUUAGAUACCCGGGUAGUC
rnacentral:rRNA from 1 species